UCUUGUCUUAGAUUUGUCUAGAUACGGAUGUAUCAAGUCACAUUUUAGUAUUAGAUACAUCCGUAUCUAGACAAAUCGAAGACAAGAAUUUUGGGACAGAGGGGGUAGUUG
rnacentral:pre_miRNA from 1 species